rnacentral:rRNA from 1 species
CCUACGGGUGGCAGCAGUGGGGAAUUUUGGACAAUGGGCGCAAGCCUGAUCCAGCUAUUCCGCGUGUGGGAUGAAGGCCCUCGGGUUGUAAACCACUUUUGUAGAGAACGAAAAGACACCUUUUAAUAAAGGGUGUUGCUGACGGUACUCUAAGAAUAAGCACCGGCUAACUACGUGCCAGCAGCCGCGGUAAUACGUAGGGUGCGAGCGUUAAUCGGAAUUACUGGGCGUAAAGGGUGUGCAGGCGGUUGUGUAAGACAGAUGUGAAAUCCCCGAGCUUAACUCGGGAAUGGCAUACGUGACUGCUGGACUAGAGUGUGUCAGAGGGAGGUGGAAUUCCACGUGUAGCAGUGAAAUGCUUAGAUAUUGCGCAGAACUCCGAUUGCGAAGGCAGCAUACCGGCGGCGAUCUGACGCUGAGGCACGAAAGCGUGGGUAUCGAACAGGAUUAGAUACCCCAGUAGUC